ensembl:lncRNA
CUGAACUAUGGAUAAUAAAACCUGGGUUCUGCUUUGGCCACAUCUCAGUCUGAUGAUGUAGGCCUAUCCCACGCCAACUAUCUUCCAUCCUGUGUUUUUUGUGGUAAGGAAAAUUGUAUCAGUGUGUACUCUGAAGAAGAGUACUCCAGCAAGUAUUUCAUCUUUUGCCUUAGUGCAGGCUACAAGCCAAAACCUGUGUGGUUUAUGUUCAGCAAUGGAAUUUUGGAUGUACUUCAUCUGUGUCUUUUUCUGCCCUGGGCUAGAUGGGAGCCUCUACAGGAUCUAUAAAAAGAGAUUUUUGAAAACCCUCUGCUUUAAAGCUGAAAUGUCGUUCACUCAAAUUUGUAUUCGAAUGAUGGAAGGAAUGUACCUCAAGAGCUGACCUGCUGGAGGUGGUACAGGAAGGAGCAUAGCUGGAACAUAAGUGGAACUGUUUUUCAAGCAACAGAAAAUAUCUGUCAUGUAGAUAGCAGGGAUGGAAAUAGUUGGAAACUACAGAAGAAUCUGUGCUGAACACAGCUCCAUGGAGGCUACCUGCAAAAUUAGCAUGCUAACUGCGACAACAGUGAGAUGUGGAGUUGGAUUUGUUAUUACCUUAUUUGGGAGAAGGCAUAGAGAAACAACACUCUCAAUAGCAUGUAACUGUUUCGAAAGGGAAUGUGUGUGUUUGGGGAGAUGUAGGUAGCUAGGUAGUGGUAACAGAAUUUAGCUUUCCUAAAAAUACCGUCAAGGGGCCUACCAGAGUAAGGUAGUAGUUUCAACAAACUACAAGAAGUAGAAGAGUGGGGUGAUAGAGGCAGCCUGGAAUACAAGAUAGUCAAGAUCAUACUACAGUUGUAUUUCUUAAACAAUACGCUUAUAUUAAUUAUAUGAAUUUGACAAAAGCAAAGAGCUGCUACCUGUACCUGGAUACAGAUGGAUUAUUGCUAAAACUUGAGUACAUAACCAGAUAGGUACUGACAGUUCACUGAGUUUGCCUUCACUUCCUCUGACUCUCCAUUUAUGAGAAGGAAAAUAACUUCUGAACAAUAGUGAACUAUCUAUAUAAUAGCCUGUUUUUUACUGAUUUCCUAGUACAGAUCUGGAUCUUGAAAUAUUUUCUUGCCAUCAGACCACAGCAGCUUUAAACUGCCUCCUGGUCCUUGGUGGUAUAUGCUGUCCAACCUUUACUUACUGUUCUUUUGAAAGCUGGGGCCAGUAGAUGCUGGGUAAAAGGCAGGUUAUCAUGGAUGCUACAGUGCUAAGACUAUCUCAGGUACUCCCUGACGAAAUCCUGGUAUGCAGGGCAGAGCACUCAUCAGAUGCUGUGAUAAUUUAGCUUUCAUUGAUGGAUGUCAGAGUGCAUCUGGACUUAUCAUGUGGUACUCUCUGUAUAAUAAGAUACAUUUGUUAUCAGGGUCAUACUCCACUAUUUUACUGGAAAAGUGAUUUUUUAUUUAUUUUCCUGGGGAAAAAAAAAAACAAAAAACAAAAAAACAAACUUUGAGUAAUCUUAGCAUACAAAAGAGAAUGUCAUUUGAUAUUUUUACUUAUUCAUUGCAUGUUACAAAUCUUAUGAUUUAUUUUGUUCAUUUGCUUUUGUCUUUCAUUCCAUUUGAUCCAACAUAGAAAAAGAUGGAAAAAAAGACACGAAUAAAUCAUUUCUAUAUACUCUGAUGGACUUGUAUAACUGCAAAUGAACAGAUUAUGGGAAAAGACAUGACAUAGUAGAAGGAAAUAUUUUACUUGGCUAAGAGCUUUCUGUAGUGAGUUUGGUAGUUUGGAAGUGUACAUACUAUAAUGGAUCCUGUCAAAGGUUGGUAGCUACCAGAGAUGACAAAUUGAACGUGGAUAUAAACACAUAUUCUUUCAAUGUCCAAAAAUUUUUGUACAGUUUGCUUAUUCUGGCUAUAGUUCUGUGGAACAGUUCAUUAAUAUGCAGUACUCUAAUAUUUCCAAAGAGUGGAAUGUCAAGGUAAAAUUUUGAUCUGCAAGGACUCCCCUGUGGCACUUGAAAGAAUGUGUAACUUCAUAAAUUUUGGGUAGCAACGAGUGUUGGUAAAGUUCUAGGGUAUAAACUUCAUUGUAUAUUAUUUAAGACUGCUUUUAUGAAUACAGAAAUAAAAUAAUUCAGUGUUUUUUUUUUACUUUCUGCCACUUUUUAAAAUCUUUUCAUAGGAAAGAGAAAAGGUGAUUGCAUAUGCACCUACAUGGAUAACAAUGAAGGGGAAGUGUGGUCCUGUCAGAAUAAAUUUUGAGUUAUUUUAUCAUUACUGCAAACAGAAGUGCCUGUCUUAAAGCAUAUAUAUAUAGACCGAAGUGCAAGGACUUUCAUUUUUAAAUAACAGAGCAUGAUUCUUAUCCUUUUAUUUACAAUCAAUAGUAUCCCCUCUAUGCUUACAGUACUUAAACCUCAGACAAUAAAGGCUGCUAGAGCACACACAGACAAGAGUACAAGAAGUCCUGGUUUAUGUAAGGUGAAAAUUGUGCACCUCUGCAGAGCAAGGAAGGCUUAUUUCAUGCUGUGCCACUACACCACCAAGAGAAAAUAUUCUUCCUGGAGAUGAGCAUAAAUACUAACACAUGCUGUGUGACUAUUGAAUGACUUGAAAAAUCCUUUUGCCUUAUUGAAGCACUUUGGUUGAAGUCAACAGGGUUGCACUGAAGUGAGAGAGUACUUUUACAUAUGACAUUCCUUUUGCCAUGCAUUGUGCUUACCA